CCCUUAGAGUUUGAUCCUGGCUCAGGAUGAACGCUAGCGACAGGCUUAACACAUGCAAGUCGAGGGGCAGCACGAUGUAGCAAUACAUUGGUGGCGACCGGCGCACGGGUGAGUAACGCGUAUGCAACCUACCUAUCAGAGGGGAAUAACCCGGCGAAAGUCGGACUAAUACCGCAUAAAACAGGGGUUCCACAUGGAAAUAUUUGUUAAAGAAUUAUCGCUGAUAGAUGGGCAUGCGUUCCAUUAGAUAGUUGGUGAGGUAACGGCUCACCAAGUCCACGAUGGAUAGGGGUUCUGAGAGGAAGGUCCCCCACACUGGUACUGAGACACGGACCAGACUCCUACGGGAGGCAGCAGUGAGGAAUAUUGGUCAAUGGGCGAGAGCCUGAACCAGCCAAGUCGCGUGAAGGAUGAAGGAUCUAUGGUUUGUAAACUUCUUUUAUAUGGGAAUAAAGUGAGGAACGUGUCCUUUU
rnacentral:rRNA from 1 species